GCGGGUGUAGUUCAAUGGUAGAACACGACUCUUCCAAGGUCGUUACGCGAGUUCGAUUCUCGUCACCCGCUCCA
rnacentral:tRNA from 1 species